GAUUAAGAGCUUGCUCUUAUGAAGUUAGCGGCGGACGGGUGAGUAACACGUGGGUAACCUGCCCAUAAGACUGGGAUAACUCCGGGAAACCGGGGCUAAUACCGGAUAACAUUUUGAACUGCAUGGUUCGAAAUUGAAAGGCGGCUUCGGCUGUCACUUAUGGAUGGACCCGCGUCGCAUUAGCUAGUUGGUGAGGUAACGGCUCACCAAGGCAACGAUGCGUAGCCGACCUGAGAGGGUGAUCGGCCACACUGGGACUGAGACACGGCCCAGACUCCUACGGGAGGCAGCAGUAGGGAAUCUUCCGCAAUGGACGAAAGUCUGACGGAGCAACGCCGCGUGAGUGAUGAAGGCUUUCGGGUCGUANAACUCUGUUGUUAGGGAAGAACAAGUGCUAGUUGAAUAAGCUGGCACCUUGACGGUACCUAACCAGAAAGCCACGGCUAACUACGUGCCAGCAGCCGCGGUAAUACGUAGGUGGCAAGCGUUAUCCGGAAUUAUUGGGCGUAAAGCGCGCGCAGGUGGUUUCUUAAGUCUGAUGUGAAAGCCCACGGCUCAACCGUGG
rnacentral:rRNA from 1 species